rnacentral:rRNA from 1 species
GAUGAACGCUGGCGGCGUGCCUAAUACAUGCUAGUAGAACGCUGAAGGAGGAGCUUGCUCUUCUGGAUGAGUUGCGAACGGGUGAGUAACGCGUAGGUAACCUGCCUGGUAGCGGGGGAUAACUAUUGGAAACGAUAGCUAAUACCGCAUGACAACAGUUAUUGCAUGAUAACUGUUUAAAAGGGGCAACUGCUCCACUACCAGAUGGACCUGCGUUGUAUUAGCUAGUUGGUGAGGUAACGGCUCACCAAGGCGACGAUACAUAGCCGACCUGAGAGGGUGAUCGGCCACACUGGGACUGAGACACGGCCCAGACUCCUACGGGAGGCAGCAGUAGGGAAUCUUCGGCAAUGGACGGAAGUCUGACCGAGCAACGCCGCGUGAGUGAAGAAGGUUUUCGGAUCGUAAAGCUCUGUUGUAAGAGAAGAACGAGUGUGAGAGUGGAAAGUUCACACUGUGACGGUAUCUUACCAGAAAGGGACGGCUAACUACGUG